CUACGGGGUGCUCCAGUAAGGAAUAUUGGUCAAUGGACGCAAGUCUGAACCAGCCAUGCCGCGUGAAGGAUGACUGCCCUAUGGGUUGUAAACUUCUUUUAUUCGGGAAGAAUCCCCCGAUCGUGAUCGGGGUUGACUGUACCGUUUGAAUAAGCACCGGCUAACUCCGUGCCAGCAGCCGCGGUAAUACGGAGGGUGCAAGCGUUAUCCGGAUUUAUUGGGUUUAAAGGGUGCGUAGGCGGAAUGAUAAGUCAGUGGUGAAAUCCCUCGGCUCAACCGAGGAAUUGCCAUUGAUACUGUCAUUCUUGAGUACACUUGAAGUGGGCGGAAUGUAUCAUGUAGCGGUGAAAUGCAUAGAUAUGAUACAGAACACCGAUAGCGAAGGCAGCUCACUAAAUUGUAACUGACGCUAAUGCACGAAAGCGUGGGGAUCAAACAGGAUUAGAUACCCUUGUAGUC
rnacentral:rRNA from 1 species